AGUGAAAAUUUCUUCACCGUUGUAGUCAGUUCAUUUCGGAAAGAAAGCGGAUAAAUUAAAGCUCUAAAAUUUUUUACCAUAAAAUUUGGUUAAAGUUUUGGUUCAGAAAAAAUUGAAAAAAAUUAUUGAAUUUAUUACAAAAUAAAAAAAUUAUUUAAAAGUUGAAAAAGCGUUACAAUUUCGCUUUAGUUUAAACGCAAAAUCUAAAUUGAUUCGACAGUCGAAAAAUCGAAAAAAAAACUACGAAAAAUUCUGUAUCAGCAGUAGGUACACGCGCACGCACCUACUUACAUACAGCCGCACAAGAAAUAGUAGUAGUACUAGUGCCUACUAAUAUAACGGCAACAGAGAGAGUGUGUAUAUGCGAUAAAGAGCAAGCGAGUGCGUGAGUGAUAAGCGAACAACGUGAGCACAACCCCAAAAAAGUUGUCGUAAAGAAGAGUAAAAAACGCGUUGCUACAACGAAAAUUAAAAAAAAAAAAUUAAAUAAAAAAACCAAAAAAAAAUUCUUGUUGAAG